GACGGCUACAAAAAGCAAACAUUAUUUGUAUUACAAUUUGUGGAUUUUUAACCUCUAGAUUCAUUACAGGCCAGCCAAUUAGUCUGCAUACUUUGCAAAGCACUGCAUAUCCUGAAAGGCAAUCCUAGACAAGCUCCUACAGCUGCCACGUGGGAUCUCACUUCCAAGAACCAGUGCAGAGGAAUGACUCACCACCAUAUAACCACUUUUUAACUAUACUAAGACCUCCCAGUUAGACUUUUUAAAUACAGAACCGAUCCUCAGAAGACUGUAUAUCCUUAAACAGAUUCAAACUCAGAGUGAUGAAUUUUCAUUCAUUUUUGAGAAAAUAAUGAAAAUGUCUUCAUAGUUCUCCACUAGGAAUUCAUUUUUUAUCACUUUGCAAAGAGUUCACAAUGCCAUUUCUAAAUCAUUACUGUUUAGAUAAGCAAAUGGAACUAGCAUCAGAAGACAAAUUUUCCAGCAGUAGAUGCAAAUAUUUUAUGUUUAAGACGACAAAUUUUGGAAAACGACAAUAAUAUUCAUAAAAGGAGGCAUUUGUGUUCUAUCUGGUGUUUCAGCACCACUGAGAUUGUUCUACAGCUUUCUAUAGGUUAUUUUUUUUUGGUCCCCCUCCUCCUUGUUUAAUGUUUUGUUAACGAAAAGUUACUUGAAGGGAAAAGAUUUCAAGGCAAUAUCUUUCUUUGUAAGUAACACUGCUGUGUUGCUGGCAAAGCCAGUAAUGUCAACAUGUAUCAUCUGAGCAGACAGUUCUCUGUAACUGCCUCUCCAUGAGCCACUAUAUUGACAGCAGUCACACACCACAUACAGAAAAAUACCAGCAAACUAGUGGGGUGCAAAAUCUGAUCCAAUGCUAAAUACAGUACUAAAAUCAAUUAAAA